UAAUGGCCAUUUGGUAUCUGACACAUGGUCUGCUCUUGUGACUAUUAGUCUCGAAAUAUGGCAUAAAACAAGGGGGAACGGAUCUUGCGACAUUGGUGGUUCCUCUAUGAUCCUCCAAUUACUAUAUAGCCGUUUACAAUU
rfam:O.sativa hsp70 gene for heat shock protein 70